CAUGAGUUAUGUCAUGUUAUCGAUAUGUGAAUACAUAGCAUAUCAGAAGGCACACCCGGAGAACUGAAACAUCUUAGUACCCGGAGGAAGAGAAAGAAAAUUCGAUUCCCUUAGUAGCGGCGAGCGAAACGGGAAGAGCCCAAACCAACAAGCUUGCUUGUUGGGGUUGUAGGACACUCUAUACGGAGUUACAAAGGACGACAUUAGACGAAUCAUCUGGAAAGAUGAAUCAAAGAGGGUAAUAAUCCUGUAGUCGAAAAUGUUGUCUCUCUUGAGUGGAUCCUGAGUACGACGGAGCACGUGAAAUUCCGUCGGAAUCUGGGAGGACCAUCUCCUAAGGCUAAAUACUCUCUAGUGACCGAUAGUGAACCAGUACCGUGAGGGAAAGGUGAAAAGCACCCCGGAAGGGGAGUGAAAUAGAACCUGAAACCGUGUGCUUACAAGUAGUCAGAGCCCGUUAAUGGGUGAUGGCGUGCCUUUUGUAGAAUGAACCGGCGAGUUACGAUUUGAUGCAAGGUUAAGCAGUAAAUGUGGAGCCGUAGCGAAAGCGAGUCUGAAUAGGGCGUUUAGUAUUUGGUCGUAGACCCGAAACCAGGUGAUCUACCCUUGGUCAGGUUGAAGUUCAGGUAACACUGAAUGGAGGACCGAACCGACUUACGUUGAAAAGUGAGCGGAUGAACUGAGGGUAGCGGAGAAAUUCCAAUCGAACCUGGAGAUAGCUGGUUCUCUCCGAAAUAGCUUUAGGGCUAGCCUCAAGUGAUGAUUAUUGGAGGUAGAGCACUGUUUGGACGAGGGGCCCCUCUCGGGUUACCGAAUUCAGACAAACUCCGAAUGCCAAUUAAUUUAACUUGGGAGUCAGAACAUGGGUGAUAAGGUCCGUGUUCGAAAGGGAAACAGCCCAGACCACCAGCUAAGGUCCCAAAAUAUAUGUUAAGUGGAAAAGGAUGUGGCGUUGCCCAGACAACUAGGAUGUUGGCUUAGAAGCAGCCAUCAUUUAAAGAGUGCGUAAUAGCUCACUAGUCGAGUGACACUGCGCCGAAAAUGUACCGGGGCUAAACAUAUUACCGAAGCUGUGGAUUGUCCUUUGGACAAUGGUAGGAGAGCGUUCUAAGGGCGUUGAAGCAUGAUCGUAAGGACAUGUGGAGCGCUUAGAAGUGAGAAUGCCGGUGUGAGUAGCGAAAGACGGGUGAGAAUCCCGUCCACCGAUUGACUAAGGUUUCCAGAGGAAGGCUCGUCCGCUCUGGGUUAGUCGGGUCCUAAGCUGAGGCCGACAGGCGUAGGCGAUGGAUAACAGGUUGAUAUUCCUGUACCACCUAUAAUCGUUUUAAUCGAUGGGGGGACGCAGUAGGAUAGGCGAAGCGUGCGAUUGG
rnacentral:rRNA from 1 species